UGGGAAUAUUGCGCAAUGGGCGAAAGCCUGACGCAGCGACGCCGCGUGGGGAUGACGGCCUUCGGGUUGUAAACCUCUUUCAGCAGGGACGAAGCGAAAGUGACGGUACCUGCAGAAGAAGCACCGGCCAACUACGUGCCAGCAGCCGCGGUAAUACGUAGGGUGCAAGCGUUGUCCGGAAUUAUUGGGCGUAAAGAGCUCGUAGGCGGUUUGUUGCGUCGGCAUGUGAAAACCCUGAGGCUCAACCUCAGGCCUGCAGUCGAUACGAGCAGACUAGAGUGUUGCAGGGGAGACUGGAAUUCCUGGUGUAGCGGUGAAAUGCGCAGAUAUCAGGAGGAACACCGGUGGCGAAGGCGGGUCUCUGGGCAACAACUGACGCUGAGGAGCGAAAGCGUGGGGAGCGAACAGGAUUAGAUACCCUGGUAGUCCACGCCGUAAACGUUGGGCGCUAGGUGUGGGGCUCAUUCCACGAGUUCCGUGCCGCAGCUAACGCAUUAAGCGCCCCGCCUGGGGAGUACGG
rnacentral:rRNA from 1 species